UACUGACCUUCUGCACCUGGUCGUGGUUGAGCUCCGUGAAGAAGUAGGCGAGCAGAUGCGAGGCGAUCAUCCUGCCGCGCGCGGCCUGACGGCGCCGAGUUAGGAAACCGAGUGAUACCCACGCACAGUUGACCGCAUCCUGCAUCUGGACACACCUUCUUCUGUGGGAUCUGGAGAAGCUCCAUCCUCCUGGUGUCCCUCUAGCUCCUCAGACCCUGUUUUCUCUACUGGUAAACCCACGUAUGUUGUGUGAGGUUGUUCACUGGGGCAUCAUUUGUCAAAGCAAGUCUGGGACUGACUUAAAUCCUAUCAUUUGGGGACUGGCUUCCAGGUGAUGGCCAUGCCUCCUGACCUCACUUUGAGUCGCAGAGAGUGAAGUGUCCAUGAGAUGUGGCUUCCCUGUGCUUCCUAUUUUUCCUUGAGAAGAGCCUGCCACUGCUUCCUUGAGCCAUCAUCAGUACCCAGGAACCCACCCAACUGGAGACCUAUCUCAAGGAGUCCACACAACUGAUCUACAAUACCAAGCAUUGAUUCAAGCCCAGAGACACAGUGGUUAACAUGACAAACAUGAUCCCCACCCUCAUGGAGCUUACAGUUUACAGAGGAAAUCAAAUAAGUUCCAAUGUAUCCUGGACUUGGAUGACCAGCAGGCCUCAGGGAGAACUGAAUCACCCAUAGCUUUGCUUCCUAAGGGUAUGCCAGCAUCUCUCUGUGAUCUGACAUUCAUACUCUCCAAUACAGAGGAUUUCCUUGGGCUUGUUUGUCCCAAACAAUAUGGCUCCCCCAUACUGAAUUAAGUUUUUCUUCAAGCCACCUCCCAUCCCAUGGGUUGAGCUCCAUGAUGUCCAAACUAUACCUGAAUGCCUUUGGUAUGGAUAAUAAUCCUCCUCUCAGUCAGUUACUGUGAUGGAAAUGAGGUUAGUUUCACGCACGGUACCUGGACCACUGCAAUAAAUGCAGCCUCCAUUGGAGCCCUCUGGCCUCUGAAGGGGCUGAGGAUGUAUCAUACCCUUUUAGAGCAUUGGCUUGAAGUAACUACAAUUCUUGGUCUCCUCUUCACAGCUGUUGCUAUAAUUCAUCCUCAUCUGAAAGUGCCAAAGUGUGAAUCUUCAGGCUGGUGAGGUUAUAAGGUGACAAGACUGGUGGUGUAGGAGGACCUCUGACUGCCUAAUAAAAUUUUUCACUGGG